rnacentral:rRNA from 1 species
CUAAGCACUAAGAUCUUUGGAUUAAAACUUAAAGAGCAUGGCGGCCGCUAAAAACUUCAGGGGAACUUACCAGAUAAUAGAUAAUCCACAUGAUAUAUUACUUAACCUAAUGUUUGUAUACCGCCGUUUUUAGGUCCCGCUUGUGGUGGUGCCGAAAGGCUAAAAGCAGUAAGACAGGUCAUGGUGCAGCCAAUGGUUUAGACAUAAGGUGAGUUACAAUAAAAUUUUAGUUCAGACUGAAAAUUAAAGCGUUUCACGAAGUUGGACUUGAAAGUAACUUUUACAUAUAAAAAUAUAAGUUGAAUUUAUUUUUAGUGGUGC